GAGUUUGAUCCUGGCUCAGAGCGAACGUUUGCGGCGGGCUUAACACAUGCAAGUCGUACGAGAACCUUCCCUUCGGGGAAGGGGAAAGUGGCGCACGGGUGCGUAACACGUGGGUAACCAACCCCCUAGACUGGGACAACCCGGGGAAACUCGGGCUAAUACCGGAUGUGGCGUCGGGGACUUCGGUCCCUGUCGUGAAAGGAGCAAUCUGCUAGGGGACGGGCUCGCGGCCCAUCAGCUUGUUGGUGAGGUAAUGGCUCACCAAGGCUAAGACGGGUAGCUGGUCUGAGAGGAUGAUCAGCCACACUGGAACUGAGACACGGUCCAGACUCCUACGGGAGGCAGCAGUGGGGAAUAUUGCGCAAUGGGCGAAAGCCUGACGCAGCCACGCCGCGUGAGCGAUGAAGGUCCUCGGAUCGUAAAGCUCUGUGGGGGGAGAAGAAAACUGACGGUAUCCCCUUAGCAAGCACCGGCUAACUCCGUGCCAGCAGCCGCGGUAAUACGGAGGGUGCAAACGUUGCUCGGAAUCAUUGGGCGUAAAGCGCGCGUAGGCGGCCAAGCAAGUUGGAUGUGAAAGC
rnacentral:rRNA from 1 species